GUGGGGAAUAUUGGACAAUGGGCGAAAGCCUGAUCCAGCAAUGCCGCGUGAGUGAUGAAGGCCUUAGGGUUGUAAAGCUCUUUUACCAGGGAUGAUAAUGACAGUACCUGGAGAAUAAGCUCCGGCUAACUCCGUGCCAGCAGCCGCGGUAAUACGGAGGGAGCUAGCGUUGUUCGGAAUUACUGGGCGUAAAGAGUACGUAGGCGGUGAUUCAAGUCAGAGGUGAAAGCCUGGAGCUCAACUCCAGAACUGCCUUUGAAACUAGAUCGCUAGAAUUGUGGAGAGGUUAGUGGAAUUCCGAGUGUAGAGGUGAAAUUCGUAGAUAUUCGGAAGAACACCAGUGGCGAAGGCGACUAACUGGACACAUAUUGACGCUGAGGUACGAAAGCGUGGGGAGCAAACAGGAUUAGAUACCCCGGUAGUCCGGUC
rnacentral:rRNA from 1 species